rnacentral:lncRNA from 1 species
GGAAAUAAAUCAAAGUAAUUAGAGACAAUUAAACUACUUACAAACAAUAAACAAAUUAAACAUCUCUCAUUACCUUUUGAUAAUUAUUCUCGCAAAGAGAUGAGAGAUGUUCAAGAGAGCUAUUGGAUAAACUCCACGUCUUCCUCUCAAGCGACGCUGCCGUUAUCGCACCGGCGAAUCGUUGCCAAGUCGGCGGGAGAGUAGAAGAGAGAGAGAGAGAGAUGACUGCGACCGUUGCUACUUCUCACAAAGGUGUUUGCUUCGUUCUCUCUCUUCAACUUCUUCUGAUUCGCGUUUCUCUCUGCGUGUUUUGUUUGUCCGUGAACCCAAUUUGAUUCUAUGUACUUUCUAUAUGCUCUGGCUGGUACAUUAGGGACUGGGUAUGAGAGUUGGGGUUGGGUAUGAGAGAUUUGGGGCUGAAAUUAGGGCUGGGUAUUAGGUAUAAGAGAUUUAAGGGAGUUUUGAGGGAUCGAGUUGUUUGGG